rnacentral:rRNA from 1 species
AUACGUAGGGUGCAAGCGUUAAUCGGAAUUACUGGGCGUAAAGCGUGCGCAGGCGGUUUUGUAAGACAGUGGUGAAAUCCCCGGGCUCAACCUGGGAACUGCCAUUGUGACUGCAAGGCUGGAGUGCGGCAGAGGGGGAUGGAAUUCCGCGUGUAGCAGUGAAAUGCGUAGAUAUGCGGAGGAACACCGAUGGCGAAGGCAAUCCCCUGGGCCUGCACUGACGCUCAUGCACGAAAGCGUGGGGAGCAAACAGGACUAGAUACCCUGGUAGUCCACGCCCUAAACGAUGUCAACUGGUUGUUGGGGAUUUAUUUUCUCAGUAACGAAGCUAACGCGUGAAGUUGACCGCCUGGGGAGUACGGCCGCAAGGUUAAAACUCAAAUGAAUUGGCGGGG